ACUGUAGCUUUGCACUGGACUUUGAGCCUGCUUGUGUAGGAUAGGUGGGAGGCUUUGAAGCGUGGACGCCAGUUCGCGUGGAGCCAUCCUUGAAAUACCACCCUGGCAUGCUUGAGGUUCUAACUCUGGUCCGUGAUCCGGAUCGAGGACAGUGUAUGGUGGGCAGUUUGACUGGGGCGGUCUCCUCCUAAAGAGUAACGGAGGAGUACGAAGGUGCGCUCAGACCGGUCGGAAAUCGGUCGCAGAGUAUAAAGGCAAAAGCGCGCUUGACUGCGAGACAGACACGUCGAGCAGGUACGAAAGUAGGUCUUAGUGAUCCGGUGGUUCUGUAUGGAAGGGCCAUCGCUCAACGGAUAAAAGGUACUCCGGGGAUAACAGGCUGAUACCGCCCAAGAGUUCAUAUCGACGGCGGUGUUUGGCACCUCGAUGUCGGCUCAUCACAUCCUGGGGCUGAAGCCGGUCCCAAGGGUAUGGCUGUUCGCCAUUUAAAGUGGUACGCGAGCUGGGUUUAGAACGUCGUGAGACAGUUCGGUCCCUAUCUGCCGUGGACGUUUGAGAUUUGAGAGGGGCUGCUCCUAGUACGAGAGGACCGGAGUGGACGAACCUCUGGUGUUCCGGUUGUCACGCCAGUGGCAUUGCCGGGUAGCUAUGUUCGGAAAAGAUAACCGCUGAAAGCAUCUAAGCGGGAAACUUGCCUCAAGAUGAGAUCUCACUGGGAACUUGAUUCCCCUGAAGGGCCGUCGAAGACUACGACGUUGAUAGGCUGGGUGUGUAAGCGUUGUGAGGCGUUGAGCUAACCAGUACUAAUUGCCCGUGAGGCUUGACCA
rnacentral:rRNA from 1 species